UGCCUUAAGAACCAGAAGACUGCGCUUGACC
rnacentral:piRNA from 1 species